ensembl:lncRNA
UUUUUUUCCCUUCAAGUGUUCAGACGUCGAGCUCGCGCUGUCAGACAGGCUGCAGCAAAUAUUUCAUUUUAACACUCACAAACAUCUGAAUUUAGCUCUUGGUGUGUUCUAAUUGGCGGAUUGUGUGCAAUCGCUGUAAUAUUUUAUUUUUAAAAGGUCUUAAACAAGAAUAAACUCGUUUGUUGUGAGCUCGUUGAGACAGCACGCGCUGUUCGGAGCGGUGAUUUAUCUCUCGUCUAUCUCUCCGUUCUCUGACCAGACAUCAAUUAUUAAUGAGCCCUGACCCUCUAAUAAUAAUAUAUGUUGGUUUAGCUUGUCAGUGUGAAUCAAUUUUAUUUAUUUAUUUGUAUUUUUAACCGAUUUAAAAGUGAAACUAAGGCAGACUCCUCCCUCUCAGUCCCGGGGAUUGCUCCUGUAGAGGCGCAUUUUCUCUCAGACAAUGAAAGUCUCAGCACACAUACAUUCCUCACACAGAGCCAAAAAUCCAUAUUCAAAUCAAAAUAGCCGACUUCCUGUUGGUCGUAGCUAAUGACUGUAAAUUAGAAAGUUGUCCGUCUUAAUAAGAACAAUAUAUGUACCGAGUUUGGUGUCUGUAGCUAAAACUAAGCCCCCCACUUUUGACAAAAGGUGGCGCUAUAGAGUGCCUCCUCCACGCCCUUUUAUGACCUUUUGCCAGUGUCUAGCUAUCAUUAAUACUGAUAUGUGUUCUGAGUUUCAUGAAAUUCUA